rnacentral:sRNA from 1 species
GCGGAGACGCAUGAUGUUUCCGUUCACUCCUCACACCACACUCCGCCUGAACAAACUGUUCAGGCGGUU